ensembl:snRNA U6 U6 spliceosomal RNA
UUGCUUCAGCAGCACAUAUACUAAAAUUGGAAUGAUACAGAGAAAUUAACAUGGCCCCUACACAAGGAUGACGUGCAAAUUGGUGAAGCAUUACAUGAUGAA